UGGCCCACCAAGGCGACGACGGGUAGCCGGCCUGAGAGGGUGACCGGCCACACUGGGACUGAGACACGGCCCAGACUCCUACGGGAGGCAGCAGUGGGGAAUAUUGGACAAUGGGCGAAAGCCUGAUCCAGCAACGCCGCGUGAGGGAUGACGGCCUUCGGGUUGUAAACCUCUUUCAGCAGGGACGAAGCGAGAGUGACGGUACCUGCAGAAGAAGGACCGGCCAACUACGUGCCAGCAGCCGCGGUAAUACGUAGGGUCCGAGCGUUGUCCGGAAUUAUUGGGCGUAAAGGGCUCGUAGGCGGUCUGUCGCGUCGGGAGUGAAAACUCAGGGCUCAACCCUGAGCGUGCUUCCGAUACGGGCAGACUAGAGGUAUGCAGGGGAGAACGGAAUUCCUGGUGUAGCGGUGGAAUGCGCAGAUAUCAGGAGGAACACCGGUGGCGAAGGCGGUUCUCUGGGCAUUACCUGACGCUGAGGAGCGAAAGCAUGGGGAGCGAACAGGAUUAGAUACCCUGGUAGUCCAUGCCGUAAACGUUGGGCGCUAGGUGUGGGGACCUUCCACGGUUUCCGUGCCGCAGCUAACGCAUUAAGCGCCCCGCCUGGGGAGUACGGCCGCAAGGCUAAAACUCAAAGGAAUUGACGGGGGCCCGCACAAGCGGCGGAGCAUGCUGAUUAAUUCGAUGCAACGCGAAGAACCUUACCUGGGUUUGACAUAUACCGGAAAGCUGCAGAGAUGUGGCCCCCCUUGUGGUCGGUAUACAGG
rnacentral:rRNA from 1 species